UGAAGGUCAAUGGUUACCAGUU
rnacentral:miRNA from 1 species